GAAACACAGCAGCAAAUAAAGCACUGACUCCAAAGUACUUAAAAUCCAGCUGUUCACGUGUUGCUUGCUAGAGAGGGGGCAGGCUAAGAGCUGAAGUUUUGUUUAGAUGCUUUUGGGUAGUGAUGGAUGCUUUUAUGGGAGAAAAAUAAUUUCCAAUUUUGCUUGGCUUUGGCUUUUGACAGGCUAAUUUCUUCUGAAGACUAAAUAAGAUUGCACAGAAAUGAAGAGGGAGUAGCAAACCACAAAGGUGUUUUUUUGUUUUGUUUUGUUUUUGAGUGCAUCUGUUAAUACAGGGACUGGCAAAGAGAAGGAGACUAUCUAAGAAGAAAUUAAUUUCAGGUCCUGGAAGUUGUGAUUCCAACAGGACAAUGGGGAGAGACAGAAUUGUUUUGGGAACACUCCCAAAGAGAAGAAAUCAGGAUUAUGUAUAUUAAAAGGUCAGAGUGAUAUACAGAGAAUACAAAACAGUGUGAUAAAUGGUAGCUUAGGAUUGAAUAAUGGAAAUGAAAUGGAAAAAAAGACAAAAGAACGAUGAACUAAAUUGAUUGGAAAGAAGACAUCAAUGCAAUGAUUCAAAGGAAAUGACCUGUGAAAGAAAGUGAUGACAGAAAAAGGAAGUACAAAGUAGAUGAUUGGAAAAGAAUGAAGAAAAAUUGUGGGAAACAGCUGUCUCCUGCCUAUAUGGAAGGAACCCAAGUCAGUUAACUGAAACUGCAUACUAAGGGAAAAUAGAAUGGAGAAGUAUGAGGUAAAAUCAAACACAAUGUUAACUUGCAAAAUCUACCCACGACUCAAGUGAUUAAAAAAAAAAAUUCUGAAUUUUCCAUUUUUUCUCUUGUUUCAUUCUUGAUUACAUAGG
rnacentral:lncRNA from 1 species